rnacentral:rRNA from 1 species
AUUGAACGCUGGCGGCAUGCCUUACACAUGCAAGUCGAACGGCAGCACGGGAGCAAUCCUGGUGGCGAGUGGCGAACGGGUGAGUAAAGUAUCGGAACGUACCUUUCAGUGGGGAUAACGUAGCGAAAGUUACGCUAAUACCGCAUAUUCUGUGAGCAGGAAAGCAGGGGAUCGCAAGACCUUGCGCUCUGGGAGCGGCCGAUGUCGGAUUAGCUAGUUGGUGGGGUAAAGGCCUACCAAGGCGACGAUCCGUAGCGGGUCUGAGAGGAUGAUCCGCCACACUGGGACUGAGACACGGCCCAGACUCCUACGGGAGGCAGCAGUGGGGAAUUUUGGACAAUGGGCGCAAGCCUGAUCCAGCCAUGCCGCGUGAGUGAAGAAGG